rfam:Ascaris suum AG00001, whole genome shotgun sequence.
GCCGCCAUAGCUCAGUCGGUUAGAGCGUGGGUCUAACAAGCAAACGUCGCAGAUUUCGACCCUGCUGGCGGCC